rnacentral:rRNA from 1 species
AGUGAACGCUGGCGGCAGGCCUAACACAUGCAAGUCGAACGGCAGCACAAGAGAGCUUGCUCUCUGGGUGGCGAGUGGCGGACGGGUGAGGAAUGCAUCGGAAUCUGCCCAUUUGUGGGGGAUAACCUCGGGAAACCGGGACUAAUACCGCAUACGACCUACGGGUGAAAGCAGGGGAUCUUCGGACCUUUCGCAGAUGGAUGAGCCGAUGCCGGAUUAGCUAGUUGGAGGGGUAAAGGCCCACCAAGGCGACGAUCCGUAGAUGGUCUGAGAGGAUGAUCAGCCACACUGGGACUGAGACACGGCCCAGACUCCGACGGGAGGCAGCAGUGGGGAAUAUUGGACAAUGGGCGCAAGCCUGAUCCAGCAAUGCCGCGUGUGUGAAGAAGGCCUUCGGGUUGUAAAGCACUUUUGUUGGGAAAGAAAAGCAGCCGGUUAAUACCCGGUUGUCAUGACGGUACCCAAAGAAUAAGCACCGGCUAACUUCGUG